rnacentral:tRNA from 1 species
AUCUUUCUAGUACUAAAAGAUAGUAUAAGUGACUUCCAAUCACCGGGUCUUGGUUAAACUCCAAGGAAAGAUA